ACGAACGCUGGCGGCGUGCUUAACACAUGCAAGUCGAACGAGAAUCUGCGGAAAGAGGAUUCGUCCAAUUGAAGCAGAGGACAGUGGCGGACGGGUGAGUAACGCGUGAGGAACCUGCCUUUCAGAGGGGGACAACAGUUGGAAACGACUGCUAAUACCGCAUGACACAUCGGAGUCGCAUGGCUCUGAUGUCAAAGAUUUAUCGCUGAAAGAUGGCCUCGCGUCUGAUUAGCUAGUUGGUGAGGUAACGGCCCACCAAGGCGACGAUCAGUAGCCGGACUGAGAGGUUGAACGGCCACAUUGGGACUGAGAUACGGCCCAGACUCCUACGGGAGGCAGCAGUGGGGAAUAUUGCACAAUGGGGGAAACCCUGAUGCAGCGACGCCGCGUGAGUGAAGAAGUAUUUCGGUAUGUAAAGCUCUAUCAGCAGGGAAGAAGAAAUGACGGUACCUGACUAAGAAGCCCCGGCUAACUACGUG
rnacentral:rRNA from 1 species